rnacentral:rRNA from 1 species
GAUCCUGGCUCAGGAUGAACGCUGGCGGCGUGCUUAACACAUGCAAGUCGAACGAAGCACUUAGCUCGAUUUCUUCGGAUUGAAGGCUUUGUGACUUAGUGGCGGACGGGUGAGUAACGCGUGGGCAAUCUGCCCCAUACCGGGGGACAACAGCUGGAAACGGCUGCUAAUACCGCAUAAGCGCACGGGGACGCAUGUUUCUGUGUGAAAAACUCCGGUGGUAUGGGAUGAGCCCGCGUUGGAUUAGGCAGUUGGUGAGGUAACGGCCCACCAAACCGACGAUCCAUAGCCGGCCUGAGAGGGUGAACGGCCACAUUGGGACUGAGACACGGCCCAAACUCCUGCGGGAGGCAGCAGUGGGGAAUAUUGCACAAUGGGGGAAACCCUGAUGCAGCGACGCCGCGUGAGUGAAGAAGUAUUUCGGUAUGUAAAGCUCUAUCAGCAGGGAAGAAGAUGACGGUACCUGCACAAGAAGCCCCGGCUAACUACGUGCC